rnacentral:misc_RNA from 1 species
AGACUGAAAACAACUAUAUUCUUGUUAACCUCCUUUUUCUAUAAUUCAAGGAUCUCUGUCUAUGCUAAUUCUCAUAAACAUCUCUCUGCAUAUUGAUGAACCUUGGAGAGGAAAACUCCAAACCUGAUUGAGAUUUGAGAAAAUUACUGAGAAGAAUAUUAAAAAUGUUAUAACUUAAUAUAAUAUACAUCUCAUCCAUCGUUAUUAUAUGACAAUGUUCCUCUAUUCUAAUGGUCUACCAUAAAGCUUGAAUUACCAAAUGAGAAAAUCCUGUUAAUCAUCUAUCUUACUUCCUGUGUACAGUUACAAAGACUAUGCAUUGGUUAAAUGUCAUGCCUUGCUACUUGAUGCAAUUUCUUCUAAAUCUACAAACAAAUUUAUAAUCAUGGAAGCAACAAAUUCAAAAUAGUAUAAACUAUAAAUCUUAUGCAUCAAAGAGUAUUGACAACCUAAAUU